rnacentral:rRNA from 1 species
UACGGAGGGUGCAAGCGUUAUCCGGAUUCACUGGGCGUAAAGGGUGCGCAGGCGGCCAAGUGUGUUAGGCGUGAAAGCCCGGGGCUUAACCCCGGAAUUGCACCUAAAACUACUUGGCUAGAGCAUUGGAGAGGGUAGCAGAAUUCAUGGUGUAGCAGUGAAAUGCGUAGAUAUCAAUGAGGAAUACCAGAGGCGAAGGCGGCUACCUGGACAAUUGCUGACGCUCAGGCACGAAAGCGUGGGGAGCAAA